GACGAACGCUGGCGGCGUGCCUAAUACAUGCAAGUAGAACGCUGAAGAGAGGAGCUUGCUCUUGGAUGAGUUGCGAACGGGUGAGUAACGCGUAGGUAACCUGCCUUGUAGCGGGGGAUAACUAUUGGAAACGAUAGCUAAUACCGCAUAACAAUGGAUGACACAUGUCAUUUAUUUGAAAGGGGCAAUUGCUCCACUACAAGAUGGACCUGCGUUGUAUUAGCUAGUAGGUGAGGUAAUGGCUCACCUAGGCGACGAUACAUAGCCGACCUGAGAGGGUGAUCGGCCACACUGGGACUGAGACACGGCCCAGACUCCUACGGGAGGCAGCAGUAGGGAAUCUUCGGCAAUGGGGGCAACCCUGACCGAGCAACGCCGCGUGAGUGAAGAAGGUUUUCGGAUCGUAAAGCUCUGUUGUAAGUCAAGAACGGGUGUGAGAGUGGAAAGUGCACACUGUGACGGUAGCUUACCAGAAAGGGACGGCUAACUACGUA
rnacentral:rRNA from 1 species